rnacentral:lncRNA from 1 species
AUGCUUUUGGAGCCACACCUGCUCACAAGGCAGGGACCCAAAGGACCCCACCAAAGCUUCAGUCCCUCACCCCGAAAGGCCAGAGGCAUCUGCUUUUCAACACAGCAGCCACACCUGCUCACAAGGCAGGGACCCAAAGGACCCCACCAAAGCUUCAGUCCCUCACCCCGAAAGGCCAGAGGCAUCUGCUUUUCGACACAGCAGGCACAUGCUGCUCCCUCAGCCCCAUCUACCUGCUUCCAGUCCCUCCUGCCAACACCUCGGGAAGCCCAGAGAGCAAAAAGCCACAUCCAUAGCACCAGGGCUGCCCGGAGCUGCUGCCUGCCACACCUUGCAGGAGCAUCCCCUUGUCCUUGCGAGAUGCACACAGCGAACACAAACACGGCCAGAGCCAAGCCAAAACGAGCCCUGGGCACGAGGCACCACAAGCCUCACUCCUCCAGCUCCCCCAAGGACACCUUGCUGCCCCGGAGGGACAACAAACCUGGCUGCCUUCAUCCUCCCCCGUGUCCCAGCUGCAGCUUGGGACUGAAUCUUGUGGCAAAGCCUCAGCCCGCAGGCAGUGCCCUGCAGGGACAAACAUCCUGCUGGGAAGGGAAGGGACGCAGCCCACGGGGAAAUAAACGCCCCUGCGAAGGGAUAUCCAAAAAGCAGACGGUAAGGGCAGCUUCCUGCAGGAGGCCACCUGCCCGCAGCACCCCUUGCGGAGAAAUCCUGGGUGUUAGGCUGGGCAGGGUGACCGUACACCCAGGCGAAGCCAGCAGCUGGCUCCGGGGAGCACGGCGCAGGUGGAGCAGGACAAAGGCAGAGCGGAUAAAGCAGCCCAGGCGACCUCACGUGUGCAGGCUGACAGAUGGACGGGAAGGCAGCUGGACGUGCAGAGCGCCGGAGCCGGCCCUGACUCCAGCCACGACAGUGAUGCAUCACUUCACAGACAACGGCUCAUCUUCUGGGUUUGGGGUGGGGGUUUUUUUGGCAAUCGGAUUUUUCACACCCCACACCCCACCCCCCCCGCCUCUUAUUUUUUAUUUGUUUUUCUUUUUUUAG